GCGUCAGGUCCAUCAGGUGUAGAAGCUCCAUUCUCAGAGCUCAUGCUGAUCAGUAGUGUAGUGACGGCCUCUCCGUAUCUGCUGGUGACCAUCAUUCUGCUGGUCAAAUGUUACAGAGCUCGAGCUCACACUGAUGAAGAGAGGAUUGAGAAUGCAGUCAUAGAGGAGUGAGCAAAGUUCAUCUGUAAAAAGAGGAUGCAUUUACUGUCAAAUAAUUUCAUCAUUUCUUGUUCUUUAAUGCUUUGUGGGAUUUUAAAAUAAUACUGAUUUGUCAUUUUAAUGCCAUGCUGUUAUUUGCUCAGCAUCUUAUAGACACCUUCAUUGGUCUGACUGGAUUUGUUUAGCUGAAGCCUGCAAACCUCCUCAUGAGGUGAAAGUUACCAUGUGUGUAUCUCCAAUAACGCUUACAUGCUGCUAAUGCAAUGCAGAGUAAAAAAUGAACAAAGACUCUUAUAAAAAUAUUAAUGAAGGGGAAAUGUUGAUGCAGAGAGUGUAUAUGGUUUAAAUUGCGUUAUUUCAGAAUGAAAAUGUGCAGUGUAAUGUUUUCCAGUGUAGGUUGUAUUUUCUGUAAGCUGACUACAGUCAGAGCGGUUGGUGAAAAGCCCAGUGUUACUGGAGUUAAAGUAAGUUAAGCUUUGUAUGGAUGCGAUAUAAAAACAAGGUCAUCGACUGUUAUCUGAAACAUGGUGGGAACUAAUAUUGUGUUUUGUGUCUUCUCAGUAUUAGUUCUACCACUACUGUAUUUGUACUGCUGUGUUUUCUUCUAUUUCUUUGUGAGAUUAGCUCUAGCUGGAUUACAAGGAGUAGAUUUACAAUCUCAGUUACACACUGUUGUUAGAUUUGUUCGACUUUUCAGCUGUGUGAACUUUAAUUGUAGUUGUGUGAGGAGAUUUGUGGAUGAAAUGAUUUGAUCAAUUCAAUAAAUGCAUCAUUAUCAGUUCACUGAAUUAUUUAACCUGGUAGCAAUAAUGUAUCGUAUGAAGUACAAGUAAUACUCUGAGAAAACUCUUGUGCCUUUGUCAAUAUCAGCAUUUUUACCAUUUUGUAUUUUUAUACAAUGAUGUACUUUUCAUUGUCUUAUAUUGUCUCUUGUCUCCUGCUGUAAGAUUGUAAUUUCCCACAUGGGAUUAAUAAAGUGUUAUCUUAAAAGC